GCACCUAUGUUGUAGUGGUAGCAAGCGACUUUACCAAAGUUGAAGCUCCGGUUCAAAUCCGGAUAGGUGCU
rnacentral:tRNA from 1 species